UACGGAGGGUGCAAGCGUUGUCCGGAUUUACUGGGCGUAAAGGGCGCGUAGGCGGCCAUCUAAGUCAGACGUGAAAUCCCCCGGCUUAACCUGGGAACUGCGUCUGAUACUGGACGGCUUGAGUAUGGGAGAGGGAUGUAGAAUUCCAGGUGUAGCGGUGAAAUGCGUAGAUAUCUGGAGGAAUACCGGUGGCGAAGGCGGCAUCCUGGACCUUACUGACGCUGAGGCGCGAAAGCUAGGGGAGCAAACGGGG
rnacentral:rRNA from 1 species